rnacentral:tRNA from 1 species
CGCGGGGUGGAGCAGCCCGGUAGCUCGUCAGGCUCAUAACCUGAAGGCCGCCUCGUCAGGCUCAUAACCUGAAGGCCGCAGGUUCAAAUCCUGCCCCCGCAACCA